ACUCCUACGGGAGGCAGCAGUGGGGAAUAUUGCACAAUGGGCGCAAGCCUGAUGCAGCAACGCCGUGUGAGUGAAGAAGGUUUUCGGAUCGUAAAACUCUGUCCUAAGGGAAGAAACAAAUGACGGUACCUUAGGAGGAAGCCCCGGCUAACUACGUGCCAGCAGCCGCGGUAAUACGGAGGGUGCGAGCGUUAAUCGGAAUUACUGGGCGUAAAGCGCAUGCAGGCGGCCUGUUAAGUCAGAUGUGAAAGCCCGGGGCUUAACCUCGGAAUUGCAUUUGAAACUGGCAGGCUAGAGUCUUGUAGAGGGGGGUAGAAUUUCAGGUGUAGCGGUGAAAUGCGUAGAGAUCUGAAGGAAUACCAGUGGCGAAGGCGGCCCCUGGACAAAGACUGACGCUCAGAUGCGAAAGCGUGGGGAGCAAACAGGAUUAGAUACCCUGGUAACACAAG
rnacentral:rRNA from 1 species